CUCUGCAGCUGGGGACAGCGUUGGGGGCCCGCUUGAAUCAGACACAGUUGGUGGAGGGAGGAAUAUCAGGAAUACACCCUUCCACCACAUUUGUGUCUCCCUGGGAGGGCUUUGUAGAAAGAAUCUAAACAUUCUUUCGCCUUCCUGUCUUCGGACUGGACUGCACGAAUGGCAUGCUGAAGCUAUAUCCAAGAGAAAAAGAAGAGUUGAGACGUGUAUCCAUAGCACCUUCGGCGUUUUCAUCUUGCUGAGUUUUCUCCUCUUCACCUGCUACUUCCAGCACAUCUUGAUGUGGAAUCUCUGGCCCUUCACAUGAUUCCCCAGGGCAUUAAUCCAUUCAGCCCCUUCUGGGUCGUGCGUGAUAAAUCACAAUUUUCAACCUCAAGCUGUCCUAAAUCUUGCUUGUGCUCCAUUAAUGAAAUCAUCUCUUUUAUCUCAUCACUGCAGAUGUCAUGAUUUAUCUAUUCCUCCGUUCACGUGGCCUGCCAAAAAGUAUGGGAUAUUUCUGGGUGCUACACCUGUGCUAAGCACAGGAGGGACAGCAAGCGACAUGGACAAGCCCCGACUCCAAUAGAAUUUCGGAAAAGCCAGACACGAAGCAACUCAUGGCAAUAAAGGCAGAGAAUGAGAUCACAGUGGAGAAUGUUGUUGAAAACUGUUGAAAGAAGACCCAGUAAAGUAAGCUUUCAUCCAACUCCUUCCACCUGUUGUCAUCUUGCUUUGAGCCUCUCCAUUGCUCAGUGGGUGUUGACUGAACCAACUAUGGAUAGUGAAUUAUCAUAGAAUUUACUAUUGAAAAAAAUCCCUAUAUAAGUGGACCUGCUGCGUUCAGACACAUGUUGUCCAAGGUUAAAUGGUUCUUGAUCAAAAUCCUCCCAACUCAUUUUCCUGCCUGCUGAUGUACUGCCUUUGGUGCAUUUUCUUCACUGACACAGGCGUGAAUUUUGGUCAAAUUGGGUGAGUGCUCUUAACGCUCACAUCGUUCAACGUCAACUGCACUGCGCAUGUAGGAAAGAAGCUGAGGUCCCAAACACUUACUUGCCUUCAUGUAUCCUACCUGAUUAAAAACUGCUGCCUUCUGGAGCUCCUGUCGUGGCGCAGUGGUUAACGAAUCCGACUAGGAACCAUGAGGUUGUGGGUUCGAUCCCUGGCCUUGCUCAGUGGGUUAAGGAAUCGGCAUUGCCGUGAGCUGUGGUGUAGGCUGCAGACUCGGCUCAGAUCCUACGUUGCUGUGGCUCUGGCGUAGGCCGGUGGCAACGGCUCCAAUUAGACCCCCUAGCCUGGGAACCUCCAUAUGCCACAGGAGCAGCCCUAGAAAAGGCAAAGAGACCAAAAAAAAAAUAGAUAAAAUAAAAUAAAAAAAUGAAAACUGCUGCCUUCCA
rnacentral:lncRNA from 1 species